ACCAACAGGGAUUGCCUCAGUAACGGCGAGUGAAGCGGCAACAGCUCAAAUUUGAAAUCUGGCGGCCUCUGGGCCGUCCGAGUUGUAAUUUGAAGAGGAUGCUUUUGGCGAGGCGCCUUCCGAGUGCCCUGGAACGGGACGCCACAGAGGGUGAGAGCCCCGUAUGGUUGGACGCCGAGCCUCUGUAAAGCUCCUUCGACGAGUCGAGUAGUUUGGGAAUGCUGCUCAAAAUGGGAGGUAAACCCCUUCUAAAGCUAAAUACUGGCCAGAGACCGAUAGCGCACAAGUAGAGUGAUCGAAAGAUGAAAAGCACUUUGAAAAGAGAGUUAAAUAGCACGUGAAAUUGUUGAAAGGGAAGCGCUUGCGACCAGACUUGUGCCCGUCGAAUCAGCCGCCGCUCGCCGGCGGCGCACUUCGGCGGGCUCAGGCCAGCAUCAGUUCGCUGCAGGGGGAGAAAGGCGGCGGGAAUGUGGCUCUUCGGAGUGUUAUAGCCCGCCGCGCAAUACCCCUCGGCGGACUGAGGACCGCGCAUCUGCAAGGAUGCUGGCGU
rnacentral:rRNA from 1 species